rnacentral:sRNA from 1 species
AGCAGCCGCGGUAAUUCCAGCCCCAAUAGCGUAUAUUAAAGUUGUUGCAGUUAAAAAGCUCGUAGUUGAAUUUCGGGGUUAGUAGGUUGGUCAUGCCUCCGGUAUGUACUGAUCUCACUGAUUCCUCCUUCCUUAUGAACCGUAAUGCCAUUAAUUUGGUGUUGCGGGAAAUUUGGACUGUUACUUUGAAAAAAUUAGAGUGUUUAAAGCAAGCUAACGCUUGAAUACAUUAGCAUGGAAUAAUGAAAUAGGACGUUCGAUCUUAUUUUGUUGGUUUCUAGGAUUGACGUAAUGAUUAAUAGGGAUAGUUGGGGGCAUUAGUAUUCAAUUGUCAGAGGUGAAAUUCUUGGAUUUAUUGAAGACUAACUACUGCGAAAGCAUUUGCCAAGGAUGUUUUCAUUAAUCAAGAACGAAAGUUAGGGGAUCGAGGACGAUCAGAUACCGCCGUAGUCUUAACCAUAAACUAUGCCGACUAGGGAUCGGAUGAUGUUAAUUUUUUAAUGACUCAUUCGGCGCCUUA